GGAGACGUCGCAAGAUUAAAACUCAAAGGAAUGACCGGGGCCCGCACAAGCGGUGGAGCAAGUGGUUUAAUUCGAAGCAACGCGCAGAACCUUACCAACCCUUGACAUGCCUGGACAAUCCGAGAGAUUGGACUUUCCUUCGGGACCAGUGCACAGGUGCUGCAUGGCUGUCGUCAGCUCGUGUCGUGAGAUGUUCGGUUAAGUCCGGCAACGAGCGCAACCCACAUCUUUAGUUGCCAGCAGGUUAAGCUGGGCACUCUAGAGAAACUGCCCGUGAUAAGCGGGAGGAAGGUGUGGAUGACGUCAAGUCCUCAUGGCCCUUACGGGUUGGGCUACACACGUGCUACAAUGGCAGUGACAAUGGGUUAAUCCCAAAAAGCUGUCUCAGUUCGGAUUGGGGUCUGCAACUCGACCCCAUGAAGUCGGAAUCGCUAGUAAUCGCGUAACAGCAUGACGCGGUGAAUACGUUCCCGGGCCUUGUACACACCGCCCGUCACACCAUGGGAGUUGGUUCUACCCGACGACGCUGCGCUAACCCUUCGGGGAGGCAGGCGGCCACGGUAGGAUCAGCGACUGGGGUGAAGUCGUAACAGGUAGCCGUAAUCGAAUUUUUCNCGGCCGCAR
rnacentral:rRNA from 1 species